rnacentral:rRNA from 1 species
UACAGAGGUCUCAAGCGUUGUUCGGAUUCAUUGGGCGUAAAGGGUGCGUAGGCGGCCGGUUGCGUCUGCUGUGAAAUCCCGGGGCUUAACCCCGGGCGUGCAGUGGAUACGGGCCGGCUGGAGGCAGGCAGGGGAGAAUGGAAUUCCCGGUGUAGCGGUGAAAUGCGCAGAUAUCGGGAGGAACACCGGUGGCGAAGGCGGUUCUCUGGGCCUGUACUGACGCUGAGGAGCGAAAGCGUGGGGAGCGAACAGG